CAACACCCAAGCUUGAGACUUCUAUGUAUUAACACAAACCCUAUAUUAGUGCAUUCUAGAUUAAUGACAUUUUAUAUAUUGAUUUAUUUCUUUAUUUAAUAACCAUAGUGCUGUUUUCUAAGCAUUGUACUGGGACUAAAAUGGUCUCAUUUCAGGAAAACAAGAUCCAGUUGCUUCUUUCAAGUUUAUAAUUCAGUAAUUCUACUUAUGCUUUACUCCUUUUCUCUUUGCAUCUGAAAGCUGAUAUAAGUCUUUUGAGGUACAGCCUGGCACAAAAAGGAUGAGAUUUGUGGGCAGAAUUUUGGAAGAAUAUCUCCCGAGAGAACAUUCAGGACAGAUUGCACUGCUUUGGAGAGCUGGUGAUGAAAUCCGGCCAUUGAAUUACACUGCACUAUAAACUUCAUUUGUUCUUGGGUGCAUAGUGAUUUGCUAUAAUAAUGAUCAUCCAUUUGCCAGACAGCUGAGAUUUUUUAAAAGCUUGAUUGCUUUUGGCAUGGCAUUAUUAGUCCUGGAAGAAGGCAGCACAUUUGUAGCAAUUCUCAGCUUGAGCAAACUAGAAUAUUCACCUCCCACAAAUGCUGGCCAUUUAAGAUCUGUGUGUUAGACUUUGGCAUUUUUUCUAGCAAUUCUACAACAGCAUACACACUUUUAUUUUUCAUUAACACCAUUGUGAAUAUGCCCAUCUCUAAAAUUUCAAGGGGGUUCACUUAAGCUACUGAGUUUUAUGGACAGAAGGGCCAAGAAAAGUCCCCAAAGAAGAGUGCAUGCUGUCAAUUGCCAAUUAUUUUUUUUUCUAAUGAAAGCCAAACAAUUCCAGACAAACCCUUUUCUAAGAAAUGAACUACAUAUCUGGAUCCAAAUAAAUACUCAUCUGAUAAGAAUCUAAAAGCUCUACUGAAUUACAGUGGAUGAGAACAUGAUGAUGGUGAUUCUUUGAAGAUUACUGAGGAAAUCAACUCUCAUGUCUGAUUCUGAUACUUUUAUAGUCCAUCCAUGUUGAAAAUGUCUAUGGAAUGAUUCUGUUGUACCUUGAGAAAUGAAAUUCAUAGGCAUGGAUUCUCUCACACAGCAACUUUAUACACAAAGAUGAGAAUAGAAGAAAGGUCAUUUCCAAAGAAAGUGACAUUUAUUCUGUAUUCACUGAAAAGCCAAAAGAAUUUUCUCAUUCACCCAUACCGACAGAGCCCUACAUCUCCCCGAGAAGAGGUGAAAGAGACUGCUCCUAUCUGCUUCUGCAUCAAACUUCAGGCUCAAGACCUGUCCAGAAAAAAAAAUGUCUUCUUUCAGGGAUGAACUGCUGUCCUCAUCAGACGCCUUAUUUUGUUUAGAAUUCAAGCUCACUUGACAGGUAUUCUAUACUUUUUUCAAUACAACUAAGCUAAUGCCCACCUCCUUUCUGAAUUGAUUUCAUCCCAGUAUUACCCUUCAUAGCUUUCUCUUAUAGAGUAAGACAAUAGCUGAACAGAUUUACAUAUACAUGUGUAAGUAUCUAGAUUGUAUACAGGUGUGUGUCUAAUAUAUGAUACAUGGAAUAUAGGUACACAUAUGUAUGUGUGUAUGUGUUUAUGUAUGUAUAUCACGAAAAGUUACAAUAGUUUCAAAAGGAACAUAGGCAGGCAUCAAUUACUGAGGUUAUUGGAGGCCACAACCAAAGUCAAAUCAACGUAUCCUUCCCAAACCUCAUAUUAGCCAACAACACCAUAAUAUCUUUUCCCAAAGUCCUUGCUAACCAGACUGCCAGAACGGAGUUUGAAAUAGCAAAUGUGGCAGAGAAAUCAAGCAGUUUUUAAGCAGUGGCUUUACAUAAAUUUGAAUCACAGUUCCAUCCAUUCCCAGGGUCCUACUGAGGGCAAGGAGUGCAGGUGCUGUAGCAGAGAAAGGGAGAAUACUGGUAGGAUGGAAAGGUUUUCUGGCUUUCUUGCUUGCCUUAAGUCAGAGCUUUGUGGCCUCCAUCACACAUAAUGAAUAAUUAAGAGUUUAUUGUCUUUUGCUCAGUUGAAACUGAUUGUGUUGGAAGAUUGCAUUGCAGAAUGGUUAAUGACACAGAUUUUGAAGAUAAAUCAUGGCUAUGCCACCUACUAGUUUUGGAAUCUUGAGUAAAGUCCUUAGCCUGUUCGUGCUUCUGAAUCUUCACAUGCAAAAUAAAUUUCAUUUAUUUUAGGUUAUUGUGAAGAUUAAAUGAAUUAAUACAUGUGAAGCAACUGUAACAACUCUUGACAUGCGUGGGCUGGACUUCCAGAAGAAACGUUGUCAGAACUCUGCCCAACUGAAAACAA
rnacentral:lncRNA from 10 species